rnacentral:rRNA from 1 species
CGAGCGGCGGACGGCUGAGUAACGCGUGGGAACAUGCCCAAAGUGAGGAAUAACUGCCCGAAAGGGUAGCUAAUGCCGCAUACGAUCUUCGGAUUAAAGGAUUUAUCCGCUUUGGGAGUGGCCUGCGUACGAUUAGAUAGUUGGUGAGGUAAUGGCUCACCAAGUCUACGAUCGUUAACUGGUUUGAGAGGAUGAUCAGUCAGACUGGAACUGAGACACGGUCCAGACUCCUACGGGAGGCAGCAGUGAGGAAUCUUCCACAAUGGACGAAAGUCUGAUGGAGCAACUCCGCGUGCAGGAUGAAGGCCUUCGGGUCGUAAACUGCUUUUAUGAGUGAAGAAUAUGACGGUAACUCAUGAAUAAGGGUCGGCUAACUACGUG